CCUAAUUUUUCCUGGUCAUGAAACAAGAACCCAGAUUUUAGCUGAACUAAGGAGCAAGAAAUCCUGCAUUAAUAAAUUGUGGCCAGGCGCAGUGGCUCA